rnacentral:rRNA from 1 species
AUUGAACGCUGGCGGAAUGCUUUACACAUGCAAGUCGAACGGCAGCACGGACUUCGGUCUGGUGGCGAGUGGCGAACGGGUGAGUAAUGUAUCGGAACGUGCCCAGUCGUGGGGGAUAACGUAGUGAAAAUUACGCUAAUACCGCAUACGAUUUAUGGAUGAAAGCGGGGGAUCGCAAGACCUCGCGCGAUUGGAGCGGCCGAUAUCAGAUGAGGUAGUUGGUGGGGUAAAGGCCCACCAAGCCAACGAUCUGUAGCUGGUCUGAGAGGACGACCAGCCACACUGGAACUGAGACACGGGCCAGACUCCUACGGGAGGCAGCAGUGGGGAAUUUUGGACCAUGGGCGAAAGCCUGAUCCAGCCAUUCCGCGUGCAGGAUGAAGGCCCUCGGGUUGUAAACUGCUUUUGUACAGAACGAAAAGGUUUCUACUAAUACUAGGAGCUCAUGACGGUACUGUAAGAAUAAGCACCGGCUAACUACGUGCCAGCAGCCGCGGUAA